GGAGGGGUGCGAGCGUUGUCCGGAAUCACUGGGCGUAAAGGGGCGCGUAGGCGGGCGCAGUAAUAGGGGGGGGUGAAAUCUCAUGGCUCAACCGUGAAACGGCCUCCUAAACUGCUGUGCUUGAGCACGGUAGAGGCAGAUGGAAUUCCCGGUGUAGCGGUGGAAUGCGUAGAUAUCGGGAAGAACACCAGUGGCGAAGGCGGUCUGCUGGGCCGUUGCUGACGCUGAGGCGCGACAGCGGUGGGGAGCAAACAGGAUUAGAUACCCUGGUAGUCCACGCCGUAAACGAUGGGUACUAGGCGUCGGGGGGAGCGACCCCUUCGGUGCCGUCGCUAACGCAGUAAGUACCCCGCCUGGGGAGUACGGCCGCAAGGCUG
rnacentral:rRNA from 1 species